AGCUAAGCAGACAUCUGUAAGGUACGUAGCAGCUCCAAUGCCGUAUAAUUGAUCAUGUAACCUUGCUAAACUCCACAACCUGUUGUCAUUUUCUGCAUGUAUGGCCUUUUUAAAAAGCUGAUUAACUAUUUGCUAAAUUAAUAUUAAAUUGGGGGGAAAAAAGGCAAAUAGAUUAGCAGUAGACAAAAAUGUUUAUUUUAUAUUAUUGUGAUUCCUUGUAAAAAAAAAAUGAUAUUCUAUAUUUGAUUUUUUAAAUUAACUUAAUCUUUUAUUCACAUUUAUCUAUUUUAUCCAUUUAUAUUUUUGUAUAUACAUGGAUAGAUGGAUGGAUAGAUAGAUAGAUAUGCAUCCUUUAUUUCCUUUUUUGACAUAAUUUAUAUUUUCUUAUUAUUAUGAUAGAAAAAAAUGCUGUUUUCUCAUAUUCUUCAAAUUGAUUGCAUGUUUUUUUUUUUUCUGGAAUUGGUUAAAAACAUUUGGUACGCAAAGGGUUAUGCAGCUGUUGCAUCCAUAUAGUUACUAGUUCCGUGCCCGCUUCUUCUUAAUUACUUUCUCAUUCAGGGGAAAUCACAAGUAGUUCACUUCUGGCUAAUCCCAGCAUUUACAAAAAGGAUUACAUUCUCUCACUGUCAAACACCUUUUGCAUAAGACACAGGUGGAUAUCUAAACCCCUUAUUAUCAAAUCUUAGAUCUGCAAAUAUGAUUAAAACAUUUCUUCACUGAUUGAAAAAAAUAUUAAUCGUUGUCAAUGUAUUUUGUUACUUUACGUAUAAAUGUAUUUCUUAAAAGAUUGACAUUUCAAGGAAAUGAAACAAUUUACAAGAAUUCAUCUUUACAUUUUUUUUUUAUUUUUUUUUAAAUACCAGAUGAAAAUAAUGCAGGUUAACUUCUACUGUAUGUUACUAUAUACAGUCUAUCUACUAGUGUGGAAAACAUGGUUCUGUUAAGUAAAAUUGUAGGGUUAAUAGGAGAAAAUGGGCUGCUAUAUCUGUUUCAUGCCAAGUCAUUUCUACGUCUUUUUAUGUGGGAAUGUUCAAAGUCAAAGCUUUUAAAGAGUUACGGACUAAAGUCUAAAACUUGAGCGUUGCAUUCACUAAGAAACUAGUGCAAUGCUGCUGCUGAAUUGUGCACACUAUAUAUGAUAGAAAACAACAAUUAUUUUGGACAAAAUGGCUACUGCUUUUUUUUUUUUUUAGUUUAGCUCUGCGUUUUAUUUUAUUUCUAACUCAGAUAGCUCUUUCUCGACCAUUCUUUCAUUCCGUAUCUGUACCAGUAAAUACCACUUUGGUGAUACCGUUAUUCUGUGCACCAUCUAUUCUUUCAGUGUUAUUUCUAAAGUGACUGUAGCUGGGAAUUCAAAGUGAAUUUCCAAAUUUAAGUCAAUACAGCGUAUUAGAUGAAAAAUUCUACAAGUCAAUUUUGUUCUCAGUUUGGCUGCUUUGACCUUCGUUCUGAAAUACAUUCUGAGGUUCAAUCAAUUCUUAGUUUUCUGUUUUUUUUUUUCUUCUAUCAUUCUACUGUUCGCAUGCAAAAAUGCCAACUCUUGGGUAUUAUCUGUCUGUCUGCCAGGGUUGACAAGGCAACUAAAACAGAAAAACAUUGUAAUAUUCUGUAGCAACUGAAUGCCACCGUUAUCCAGAUUUAUCCGUUUUGAAACCUGCCCAUGAAACAAGAUAAUGAAACACAAUAUACCAAUUGCUCUAUAGAGUAUCUUUAAAAGUAAUUUUAUUGGCAGGUGGGCUUACAUUUUAAUGGCCAUUGGAGUGAUACUAACCUCUGGUUAUCUAAAUAUGCACAGGGAUUUGGGAUAGUGUGCAAGUAACUUUUUCUUCUUUGGUUUUUAUUCUGUGAAUUGUGGAUGAUCUGUACUUUAGUCAUUGCUGCUGCCCAGGAGUAGUGGGAGUUUGAGUGCAGGGCCGUAUUUCAUGUGUUGAUUGUUUUUGUGUUUAAUUGUAAAAGCUUAAAACAUAAGUGCAGAAAAUGAGAACAAUACACAGGCUUUAAAUGUUAACGUAGGUAAGAUCUUCUGUGUUCUGCGUAGCUAAGGCAAAAUCCAAGAGAAACUCCAGUGUAUCUCUGAAAGUGUCUGCAAACCUUUUGUGUUAUAGAUCAAUUAAGACUGACAAGCCCUUUCCAUGCGUAAAAAUAAGUAGUCAUGGUGAGGACAAUGUGAGACCAUGCUAACGUGCCAAGGAAUUUAUAAAUAAAAAGUGCACCUCUCCACAGCCCUGGCAGAGAAGAUGCAUCAAAAUCCACUGAAAAUACAUGAAUAAAAAUGGAACAUGAUCUAUAGAGCACCUGUUCCUAUCUUAGCCACUAAGGACCUCCUGUAUCACAGCUCAGCUCAGGGUGACCGUUCUUAUUUAGACCAAGAAGUGGUUGGUUGAGGCUGAUAUGGCUAGAUUAUCUUAUUGUGUCUGGACGAUGCUAGCGUGAUGGCCUCUUCAUUCUGUGGAAGCUCUGAUGUAACAUUAGGAAUAAUUCUUAUUUUGGGAUAACAUUUGUUUCUCCAAGUGUAAUAGAUCUCUCUGUCCUGACCCCCUUGAUCUGUUGGAAUACAGUGGACGUAUGUAUAUCUUGGCUGUGGAACAAAGAGUUGUAAAUUAUGAUUGAAACUUUUUCCUCCCAUCCAUAUCAAUUAGUGCUUCAUCUCAUAAGAGAAUUGUUCCAGUAGCAUAGAACCAUAUGUUGCUAAGUAUUUCAUCUUGUUUUUACAUAAUGGCUUGUGAAGUAUAUUAACCCCAGGGUAUUUGGGGUGAGGGGGCUGAAAACCAGAGUAAUGGGCUUUGAGAAACAGGAUGGAUGUGAAAUAUUGAUUCUUAUAAAUGACACUGGCAUGUUUCACAUUCACCAAAACCCAAAUACACUUCAGUUGUAUAUUAUGUAUGACUAUGAAUGGUAAUGUGAUUGUUGACAAACCAAUUUAAAUACAUUUCUUCUUAGAUGUUCUCCUACUAGGAGUUCAAAUACAUCACAUUAAAUAAUUAUCCUGUCCAGAGUCGCAGUUGAAAGGGAGAUAUUUUCUACAUCAUUGGGGUAGCACGUGGGCCUGUGGGCUUGCUCUGUUCCUGGCCAUGCCAUCCCCCACACACAAUCACCUAACAGAUCUAUGCUAUAAAAUUUAUAUUGUGACUGCUGACACUGGUGUGAAGGGCUUUAAACUGAUUGUGGCCAUACUCAUUCUUUCUGGUGGCAGUCAUCAAAGUGUUCUGUACUAAAAAGUAUUGCAAAAAAUGUGGAAUGAUGCUGGUUCCUCUGGUUUUCAUGGUUAUUUCUCCACUUUUAGUACUUUAGUCCACUUGAUAAUAUCCCCCAAUAUUAUGUAGACAUUUUUGAAGUGUAACAAGCUCUUUCAGAAGACAGAGCGUGCCUCUAGGAACCUGUAAUAAUAAUAGUUAAAUCAGAGCUUGUAGGUUCUCUGACUGUCAGACUCUAGACCAGGGGUCUCGCUGGCACAUACACAUGUACACACCAGAAACACAGACAGAAAUGCACACUGUGACGGACCGCCUGGCACCCCGACUGGGUGCCCCUGCCAUUCGCUGCUUCCUAGCUGUCGCCGAGUAACAUAAGCACCACACCCGAGUAACAUAAGCACCGUAGCCCCUUAGCCGCUGCAGCUUGGCUGGGGUCUCACCAAACUUCUGGAUCCAGCUCCCAGUGAGAAGAUCUCUCCUCCAAGAUAGUAUAGCAGGUAUAACUGUGCAGCUCUUACAAGAGCUAGUGAUUAUAGCAAUCCAAAGAACAAUCCCAAGAGCAGGGAUUAUAGCUCGUAUAGCUUUCCCCUACAAGCACGAGACGAGGCUGUGUGGAGGGUAAACUGGAACUAAUUUAGUGGCAGCCACAACUCGCCUUAUAUGCAGGUCCCCCUGCAGGGGUCACUCCCCCCUGGACCAGAGAGUAGACUACAGCAAAGACAUACAUAUGAUUACAUUGUCUCUCAGGUCCAGGACACUCCCAUACAAAAUGAUAUAAUCAUUCCUUUGUGCAUGAGAGAUAAUUGAUUUAGGAACUGUACUAAACUCAAUUAUCUGAAACAGUACCGGUAAUAUAAAUACUACCACACGUCUACAUCACCCGAAACUUAUAGAGAGUAAAAAUACUUACAUAUACAUGUCCUUUUUUAUAUAUUAUAUUAAUAUCAAUAAAUAAUUUUGUACCAGCUGUGGAUCCAGCUUGGAAUUCCUUCGUAGCCAGUUAUUGGCACCCCAAUGCAGAUUAUAUAGAGCCUGACACGGCUCUAUGCUUGUGAGUGUACAUUCUAUACCUUUUUGGUUUUUAUCUUACUGUACAGGCUUCACUAUGUAUUGUUUAAUUUAUUUCUCAUAGAUUUUAAGAGAGGAAGCUGUUCCUAACUUCAAGACACGAUUGUUGGGAAGUAUUUUUACUCUCUAUAAGUGUCACAUUGGGUGAUGUAGACGUGUGGUAGUAUUUAUAUUACCGGUACUGUUUCAUAUAUUUCUAAGGUGAUUGGGAACACCUAUAGUCAUACACACCCUACUAAUAAUUGUGAAGCGCCUAAACACCAUUUAACUCUUUGAGUUUUGUUUUGUUUAAACUCCAUUAUCGCCAGGCACAGAAAAUUUUUAUAAAACCCCAAAAUACAUUUAAACACACAAAACCCCCACAAAUGUUACAUCCCCUGAUAGCCCUGAUCUGCGUGACCAACAUAUCCAAAAAGCACCCAGAUUGGUUCAGGAAUUUCCUGGAAGUUAUAAUUUGACUGACCACACGCAUGGUCCCAUGCCCAAAACAGUUCCAGAGAAUCAGGGCUUGCAGUUGAUCUAGUUCGGUUUGAAAACCGAACAAACUACCAAACAUAGUCAAUGUUCUAACCCUGGAGCUUGUUCACCUUGUUCGUGGGAACGAUUCCAAGAAACAGUGCCCUUCUAAGUGGUGUAAAACCAAACGCAGGCGAUCCUGGAAGUCCAGCAGUGUUCGGGAGUUUCAAUGUCCGAAAACAGUUCCAUGAACUCGACGACCAAACACCGCUGCCUGCGUUCACAGAAACAAGAUGUCCACCAUCUCGUGGUCGUUCAUGCGAACAACGGCCACCCAGACAAACAAUUAGAACACUGCAGUUAGAAUCGUUCCAAGGUGUUAAUAGGGCUUAACAAGCUCCCGGGUGGUCUCUGGUUCAUGGGGCUGUUCGGUUCCCGAACCAAAUAUAAAAUCCCACAAACCAACUUUAUUCCUAUAGCUUUUAAAGGGCCCAUAGUCUUUUGGCAGGAGGCUGGCAAGCAGGCCCCUCCAAGAGCACAUAGCAGUGGCAUUUAUGCCACACACACCCUCAGGUACAUACACAGGUACAUAAUGCUAGACACACUCAGCCCUUCAUAAGUUCUUCCUCCACACACAUCACUCAGUCACAGAAAUCUGAAGCCCUGCCUAGAGCCCUGGGCAAUCUUAAUCCGGUUCUGAUUAUUGUCCAUCCCCUUCUGUAAUAUGUAUUAAAACAAUGCACAGAGCUCCACGGUUCUAAAUGUUUUUAUAUGUUUAGUUCUGUCUUCAUCUCCUCUUAUUGCACCCAUGCUGUCUAAAUCCCCAUUUUCCCUUACUCUCCCACUUAUCCCUCAUUCUCACCUCAUCCUCUUAUCACUUCCACCCACCCCCAUCACUUUUGCCUAUUCCUUUCUGACUCCCUCUCUCCCCAUGCUUCUAUCACACUGACCCAUCUGUCCUUCUCUCCCUCAUACUUUUAUCACUCUGCUUCUAUCCACACUGACCCACUCUGUCCUUCUCUCCCUCAUACUUUUAUCACUCUGACCCAUUCCUUCCUUUCUCCUCACUCUGUCCCCACUCGCCCUCCCCAUAUUCCUAUCACUCUGACCCAUUCCUUCCUCUCUCCCCAUAUUCCUAUAACUCUAACCCAUUCCUUCCUCUCUCCCCAUAUUCCUAUAACUCUGACCCAUUCCUUCCUCUCUCCCCAUAUUCCUAUAACUCUGACCCAUUCCUUCCUCUCUCCCCAUAUUCCUAUAACUCUGAUCCAUUCCUUCCUCUCUCCCCAUAUUCCUAUAACUCUGACCCAUUCCUUCCUCUCUCUUCCUAUUCCUAUCACUCUGACCCAUUCCUUCCUCUCUCCCCAUACUUCUAUCAGUCUGACCAAUCCCUCCCUCGCUCCCCAUACUUCUAUCACUCUGACCCAUUCCUUCUGCUCUCCCCCCAAUUCUACAUCUCUGACCCAUUCCUCCCUCGCUCCCCAUACUCCUAUCACUCUGACCUAUUCCUCCCUCUCUCCCCAUACUUCUAUAAUUCCCACCUACACCUCUCACACCCAGUAUCCCUCCCUCCCUACAAAUUGUCCAAUCACUUCCACAUAUCCCUUCCUCUCUUCAUAUCACUCCCAUCUGCAUCUUCCCUUGCCCCUACGUCUUUCACCUUCCAUAUUACUUCCACCUACUUCCCUUUUUUUUUUUUUUUACAUUUUUUAAAUCAAGAGAUCUUGUCUCUGCUGCACUGCUGUACUCACCUAUACUCACCCAGACACACAACACUCACAGCUACCCAAACAGCCAAAACACACUCACAGCCACAAACAUCAUGCACAAAAAGCUACAAUACUUACAGCAACCCUGCACCUCCACCCCCCCCUACCCCCACCCCCACAGAAUUUUUACAGACAUUCAUCUUGUAUACAAUUAAAAAAUAACCGGUAAAUAAUUCAACCAUCCUAAUUUCUGCUGGACAGUUACUAUUUUGGGGGUCCUGACUCAUCAUCACAGGUUUGUUCCCUCAUGUCCCACAUCUGAUGACACCAGGGAACUGUCUCCAGCCAUCAAUGCCUUUGUGUGCAUAAUUAGAUGCACUUGGACUGUGCAGAGGGCUCUAGGGACAUGCAGAGGGUACAAUAGCAGCACUCGCUGUAUGAAGUGCUCUAUGUGGGGCCAGCCAGGAGGCGGUAAGUCAGCCUGGUGUGCAUUUAUACCAGUUAAACACCCUUUCUGUGGACCUGCCUGCCUCUUCUCUGUGUGACGUCACUAGUGAUGCAAGCUGUAUUUCUGACAUGGCCUCCCCAAAGCCCCUCCACCCAGGUGCACACCCUAAUUAACCCCUUAAGGACACAUGAUGGAAAUAUUCCAUCAUGAUACCAUUUUAUUUCAUAAGUUGUGUCCUUCAGGGGUUAAAUGUGCAUGCCUAUGAAAAUAACAUUGUUACACCCUCCUCCCCCCCCCAGCUGUCAAUCAGAUAACCCGUCCUGUUAAUUCAUGAUUGUUUAGCUCAGUGGAGCUAAACUCAAGAGGCAACAAUUGCUCAGAGCACCUGCCUUGGACAUAUUUUCAUUGGCUGCAAUGAGAAGUCUGUGAUAGGAAAGACAAAGAAAGCCUGGGCAGGGUUAGAAGAGGAGGGCUUAUAAAGACUUCAGACAAGAGAUCUGCAGCUUUUGCACAAUGUUUUUAGAUAAACCCCUACUCAAAAAAUUCACAGUAUAAUAUAUAUUGAUUGUAUAAUGAUUUAUAUUUUUAAUUUGAGCAGUGGAGUGUCCCUGUAAGGUAACUCACUUUCAUUUUUAGAGCCUAAAUUUUGGGUCCAAUUAAACAUUGGUACUUUACACUUAGCUGUGGUUAGUUCUCUGAGAUAUUUGGCACAACCUGUAGCAAACAAAUAUACAGGUGAUACUCGAAAAAUUAGAAUAUCGUGCAGAAGUUCAUUUAUUUCAGUAAUGUAAAAGGGGAAACUAAUAUAUGAGAUAGACGCAUUACACGCAAAGCAAGAUAGUUCAAGCCGUGAUUUCUCACAAGUGCAAUGAUUAUGCCUUACAGCUCAUGAAAACCCCAAAUCCACAAUCUCAGUAAAUUAGAAUAUUGUGAAAAGGUGCAAUAUUCUAGGCUCACAGUGUCCCACUCUAAUCAGCUAAGUAAGCCAUAACACCUGCAAAGGGUUUCUGAGCCUUUAAAGGGUCUCUCAGUCUGGUUCAGUGGGAAUCACAAUCAUGGGGAAGACUGCUGACCUGACAGUUGUGCAGAAAACCAUCGACACCCUCCAUAAGGAGGGAAAGCUUCAAAAGGUAAUUGCGAAGGAAGUUGGAUGUUCCCAAAGUGCUGUAUCAAAGCACAUUAAUAGAAAGUUAUGUGGAAGGGAAAAGUGUGGAAGAAAAAGGUGCACAGGCAGCAGGGAUGACCACAGCCUGGAGAGGAUUGUCAGGAAAAGGCCAUUCAAAAGUGUUGGGGACUUUCACAAGGAGUGGACUGAGGCUGGAGUCAGUGCAUCAAGAGCCAUCACAUACAGACGGAUCCUGGACAUGGUCUUCAGAUGUUGUAUUCCUCUUGUCAAGCCGCUCCUGAACAACAAACAACGUCAGAAGCAUCUUACCUGGGCUAAAGAAAAACAGACCUGGUCUGUUGCUCAGUGGUCCAAAGUCCUCUUUUCUGAUGAGAGCAACUUUUGCAUCUCAUUUGGAAACCAAGGACCCAGAGUCUGGAGGAAGAAUGGAGAGGCACACACUACAAGAUGCUUGUAUGAAGUUUCCUAAGUCUGUGUUGAUUUGGGGAGCCAUGUCAUCUGCUGGUCUUGGUCCACUGUGCUUCAUUAAGUCCAGGGUCAACGCAGCCAUCUACCAGGAGAUUUUGGAGCACUUCAUGCUUCCUUCCGCAGACGAGCUUUAUGGGGAUGCUGACUUCAUUUAGCAGCAGGAAAAUUGGCACCUGCCCACACUGCUAAAAGCACCAAAGCCUGGUUCAAUGACCGUGGGAUUACUGUGCUUGAUUGGCCAGCAAACUCGCCUGACCUGAACCCCAUAGAGAAUCUAUGGGGCAUUGCCAAGAGAAAGAUGAGACAUGAGACCGAACAAUGCAGAAGAGCUGAAGGCCACUAUUGAAGCAUCCUGGUCUUCCAUAACACCUCAGCAGUGCCACAGGCUGAUCGCUUCCAUGCCACGCCACAUUGAGGCAGUAAUUGCUGCAAAAGGAGCCCAAACCAAGUACUGAGUCCAUAUGCAUGCUUAUACGUUUUAUUGAUUGCAUGUAAUAUUCUAAUUUACUGAGAUUGUGGAUUUGGGGUUUUCAUGAGCUGUAAGCCAUAAUCAUCGCACUUAUGACAAAUCACGGCUUGAACUAUCUUGCUUUGCAUGUAAUGCGUCUAUCUCAAAUAUUAAUUUCCCCUUUUACGUUGCAUUACUGAAAUAAAUGAACUUUUGCACGAUAUUCUAAUUUUUCGAGUAUCACCUGUAUUUACAAACUUUGUUCCCACCACCAAAAGAUACAUAGCUGUUGUGUGGAAACCAGUAGCAGCUUUCACAAGAUAGAUUGUAUAGAUUGUAUUCCAAGUAGGUUCCCCCAAAAUACAAUAUAUACUACAAAUACAGAGGGAUACAGAUUCAUUUUAUUUCAUAAUUUUAUUGUGUAAUCUGUUUUACUGAUUAGUCACUGAGGACAUUCCAUAAGGGAAGAAACACGUAGGACUGUUUAUAUAUUUUAUUUUAAUAAAGCCACUUUUUGGAUUCUACCUUGCUGGUGUGCUUGUUUUGGAGCUGAGCUAAGCUGUGUUUGCUAAAGGUGAAGUUAAAGGGACACUCCAGGCACCCAGACCACUUCUGCGCAUUGGAGUGGUCUGGGUGCCAACUCCCACUACUCUUAACCCUGCAGCUGUAAAUAUUGCAGUUUUCAUAAACUGCAAUAAUUACAUUGCAGGGUUAACUCCUCCUCUAGUGGCUGUCUACUAGACAACCACUAGAGGGCACUUCCUGGUUUCUAGCACAGGUUUUCUGUGCUAGAGCGCCACUGGACGUCCUCACGCUGUGUGAGGACCUCCAGCGUCGCUCAAUUCCUCACAGGAAAGCAUUUUCAAUGCUUACCUAUGGAGAGGUCUAAUGCACGUAAGGUAAGUCACUGAAGGGGUUUUCAUCCCUUCAGCAACAUGAGAUUGGUGAUGGGAGGGAGAGGGUACCUGCAGUGCCAGGAAAACGGUUUGUUUUCCUGGCACUAGAGUGUCCCUUUAAGAAGCUGGACGCACUCCUGCCCCCUAUACUUUGGGGACGGCACCCUUAUAUGCCAAAAUUGCAUCAUUCUUUGGGAGUGCAUGCUGAUGCUAGAGCGUGGGAGUGCAAAUUUUAAACUAUCGGACACAACCUACCUGCUAUGUUCCUUACAAAACUGGGUGCAAGUGUACCUAGAAUAAUUGAUACUGUAUUAAAGACAAAGGGUGAUCACACCAUGUAUUGAUUGGAUAUAGGUUUUUCUUCUGUUCUCAAUUCUUACUUUUGUUAACUCAUAAAAAUAAACUAUUAACAUUUCUAUUUUUAAAAGCAUUCUUAUUUAACAGUAUUUUUCAUGUCUACGUAAAACAUUUGCACAGUAUUGUAUAUAAUUUGUGUUCCUAGUAUGUAUUUCUCAAUUACUGCCCCCUCCCCAUUUUUUGCCUUGAAAUGGUUAAGUUAGAGUGUUCCUGGUGGUAUUGGGUUGUAGGCCCCACCUUUAAAAUGUAGGGCCCACCAUAAGGAGUUAAACUGCUUUUAACUGCUUUGCCCCACCCCAGCACCUGACAGCUUUGCCAUUUGUUCUGUUGCUGGUUGCCCUGGAGUUCAGGAAAGUUUGCCCUGGAGGCCGGUGAUUGGUUACACAUGUAAAGUAAACAUUGCUGAUUCUCACAAAGCAUAUAUUUGACAGCCUGCAGGGGCAGCAUUUAGACUGUAGUGGCUUUGGUGUUUAGAAUGCCCUUUUAAGCCCACCUUUAUUUCAGGAGAAUCUCCUCCUCACUGCACCAUCAUUAUUUCUAAUGACUUGUGUCCAGUUUGAUGCUUCUCAAGUAGAAGAAUUAGGACACAAAAUGCAUGUGCAGCAAUCAGUGUUAUUGCCAACAAUGCAUGUCAUAGAGAAGCAUUUACAUUGAUGCCAUGCACCCCAACAUUUUAAUUGGAAGAAGACUAUUACUCUCGUUUUAGGGGUGUAAGUAGAGUUGUUCCAGGGGCACUGCUCUUUUGGGAAAUGUAUGUGACUUUAUGACUUAACAACAAUCUAUGUAACAAAGAUUUAAUUUAAAACCAGAACAAUCUAUUUUAUUUACACAAAAUGAUUUCUGAACACAUUUAUUGUAUUUCACAGACACAUUAAAGGGACACUGUACUCACCAAAACAACCUCAGCUUAAUGACGCAGUUUUGGUGUAUAGAUCAUGUCCCUGCAGUCUCACUGCUCAGUUCUAUGUCAUUUAGGAGUUAAAUCACUUUGCUUAUGAACCCUAGUCACACCUCCCUGCAUGUGACUUGCACAGCCUUCCUAAACACUUCCUGUAAACAGUCAUCUAACGUUUAUCCUUCCUUUAUUGAAAGUUCUGUUUAAUUUAGAUUUUCUCAUCCCCUGCUAUGUUAAUAGCUUGAUAUACCCUGCAAGAGCCUCCUGUAUGUGAUUAAAGUUCAAUUUACAGAGAAAGAGAUACAAUUGUUUAAGGUAAAUUACACCUGAUUGAAAGUGAAACCAGUUUUUUUUCAUGCAGGUUGUGUCAAUCAGAGUCAGGGGAGGUGUGACAAGGGCUGUGUAAACAGAAACAAAGUGAUUUAACUCCUAAAUGGCAGUGAAUUGAGCAGUGAGAUUGCAAGGGCAUGAUAUUUACAUCAAAACUGCUUCAUUAACUGAUUAAAUUGAUGUUUAGGUGACUAUAGUGUUCCUGCCUACCGCCAUCCGACUCUCCCCUAGUCUUGCAUCUUUUAAGAAGUGCCUUAAAACCCAUCUCUUUAGGAAAGCUUAUGGCCUCCAAGACUAACCCUUACCUCACAUACCCGUCUCUUGCCCUCUCCUAAAGGGCAGCCCACCUUAUUUGAUUGCACAUUCCUGUCCUAAUGUAUCUUACACCCCACCUCCUAUAGAAUGUAAGCUCGAUUGAGCAGGGUCCUCUUCAACCUAUUGUUCCUGUAAGUUUAUUUGUAAUUGUCCUAUUUAUAGUUAAAUCCCCUUUCAUAAUAUUGUAAAGCACUACGGAAUCUGUUGGCGCUAUAUAAAUGGCAAUAAUAAUAAUAAUAAUUUAAUGUGGAGUAUUAGUACUGUAAAGCUGUGAUUGAAAUUCAGACACACAAAGAAUACAAAGUUUAUUCAAAAGAGGGACAUGACGAUAGAAAAUAGACAAAGGAAAAUAGGCCAAACUUGGGACUGUCCCUACUAAAUAGGGACCCUUGGGAGGUAUGAAAUGCUUUGAAUUACAAAUCACAGUGACUGAGGAAUGUAUUUAUAAAAGUGACAAUUUCUCCUGAAAUAUAUGCUUUUACAAAACAAAGGCGAUGAGACAGAGUUAACUCUUAAAGCACUUCAUUAAUGUCCAUUUAAAUAUGCAUGAUCACUCUAACCAUGUAAUGGGUAGGCUCCAGGAACGCGGUAGAGCCUCAGGUUUGUGUCAAAAUACUUCUAAACGCGUUCGCAUUAAACCAGGGCCGGCACCAAGUGAGCUGCAGUAGUCACGUUGCUUGGAGUGUCUGUUAAAUAACAUGCAUGAACAAAACUGCACUUUUGCGGUCUUCCAAUAAAGCCUAAUUUUUAAAUAUUCUGUGCGCUUUAAUGGAACACUCCAGGCAACAAAGAAACUUAUAGCUUAUGGCACAGGCAGGUACUCAGUCCAGUCUCCUCUUAUUACUAAUUCAUUAUAACUGCCUUUCAUAUGAGUUUCAUAUUGUGGUAUUUUUGACAGACAAGUAAUUAAGUGAGAUUGCUGGAACAAACCGAUGAGACUGUUUUAUUCUCAAUUUCCAUUAAAUAGGUAUUACUUAACACGCUGUUUUACUAUUUUGUAUUUCCCCACAAUCCUGUGCUUAGCUUAGCCAGAGAGCAGGCAUUGAAAUAGACUUAUGGACACGUUCACUCAAAGUCUGUAUUUUACUGCAUAAAAUAACAAUGAAAGUGAAAUCAAAAAAGAAGUUUAAAUAUGUCUAAUAAAAAUUCAGAUCUCUUUAAUCAGAAUUAAAUCCACUCCUCUAACAAGUUAAAGCUCAUUAAAGGAUCUGUUUUAUUCCUUUUUAGGGAGUGAAAAAAGUCCGAUAGAUAUGAGGUAUCAGCAUGUAUUACUGCAGGCUUCUACACUUAUAGACUUGUUCACUGAACAAGACAUUAUUGGAAAUUCCCCAGAGAAUUGAUAUUUAUUUGCCCCAAAUAGUUUAAUUGAAAAAAAAAAAAAAAAUCCCAAAUCAUGCUCGGUAAUGCUUCUCUAGUGAAUUCCUGAUUUCUCACCUUAGUGAAUACCCCUAUAACAAAAAAUAAAAAACAAAACAGAUCAUGAGAGUUAGUGACCGUUAGCACUAUUUUGGUUUUUCUUUCCCCUGUAAUGGAAUGGCUGCUUUAAUAUUUCUACUUAUUCUGAUGUUAUUCACUAAUAAUGCACCGUAUGCUCACUAUAUUUUACAGUGAUACAUUCUAGAAUCUUUGAAGAAUAUCAAGACAUCCAUGGCCUGCCAAAGUCACCUAGUCCUCCUGCUGCUGGUCCUGUUUGCAGUCAGUUCCCACCUUUCAAAUGCCCAGCACUGGUCCCACGGCUGGUAUCCAGGCGGGAAACGAGAGUUAAACAUGGCCUCUUCCCCAGAGGUAAAUCAAUAUUCUAUUGUUACAUCAUCUGACAAUGGAUUCCUCAGUUUUGGCAUCUAGGUGGCAUUUAUUUUAGGAUUGAUGAUAUUUUAGUCAAAAUGUUCCUUGGCAAUUCACAUUUUUCCAUCACUUCAGACUCCUGUAGUGGUUAUGGUGUAAUAUGUUCUGGUGCAAAGUCUGCUUUAGCAAUAGAAUAGAGGACCAGAAGGAAUAAGGUCACCUGGGGAGGGGGGUGAAACCGUUCAGAAUCAGUGGAUGGUGGUUUAUUGCAGCUCUUGUUAAAGUAUCACAGAUUUCAUGUAAAAACUAGAAAAGGCAUACUUUUUGAAAAAAUAAAGCUUUUUAGUUUUGUGGCCAUUUUGAGGGCAUUUUUGUGUUUCCCAAUUGGACCAUUCUUUCUUUACUCUGCAGGUUUCAGAAGAAAUAAAGCUGUGUGAAGGAGAGGAAUGUGCGUAUCUAAGGAACCCCCGGAGAACCAUGCUUAAAAACAUCUUGGUAUGGUCAUAUAUAAAUAACUAGCUUAUAUAGUAUACUGGAGGUCUGAAGUUUAGAGACUAACUAACCUGGAACUGUAGUUGCUGCCCAGGGCAGAUUGUAGAAUAUUGCCAGAAGACACAGUGUAGGAUGAGAACUCUUGAAUGUAAUAGCUGCAGGGCAGGUUCCAGGAGUUUUACGAUCUGUCACGUUGUGUACCAGUCCAUUCCAGGAAUACAUGUAAGUUGCUUCGGUAGGUGAAAGGGUUAACAGAAAACUAUUUGUGUGUGCUAGACCCAAAUUAAUAAUUAAAAAAAACUGUCUUUCAACACCACCCACACUUGUUCUACUAAAGAUGUUGCCACCACCAGGAAAAUUUAAAAAAAAAAGAGGAAUCCUAUGUUAGCCUAACUAAAUUAGACUAAAAACACAAUUUAGCAGAAAUAUACAAAUCUUUAGUAAUAUGAUAAAAAAAGGAAAGUAAAUUAAAAAGGGAGAAUAUUAACAGAAAACACUAAUACUCACUGUACUUGAGAAAUGCCAAUAUUUAUCUUCCAAGAAAGGUUUUGGUAAGGAAAUUAUAAUUUUGGUAAAUUUGAUUUGGCUCUGAAAAUAGAUUACAAAGUUUUUAGGUUUCAUCAGAACUCAUAUUCAGUUUUUCCACCGUACAUUCAAUUCUGGCCCUCCAGAGUACGAGCAUGGGACUUAAGGAAUUCCAGUUUUAUGAGAGACGAUAAAUAUAUUCCAGACCUGGUUGAAAAUGUACAAUGCAUCAUAUGUGGGUACAGAUACUCCCAAUGUCUUGGUAACCAGGUCAGAGUAUCUCUGUGAAUCCCGAUAAUUAAUUUUAGACCAGACAUGACAUAUAUUUCAUCAAUAAUGUCCCCAAAAUAAAAUAACAUCUAAAAUCACUUCUCAAACUUUAAGUGAAUUAACCUUCAUUGAAUUUAUAAUAUACUUUGCAGGUGGCAUGUUGUUUCCAAGCUCUCUCCAACAGCUUAUCUGAUAAGGCGCUAUUAUUAAAGAACACUCAAAUUUAGAACUAGAUACCUGUUGUAAUAUCAUUUGGUUUACACUCCAUGCAAUAAAAUAGACCUUAGUUUACAACCCCUUUUCUGUGAUGCUACAGAUGGCUCAUUCCUCUGGCUAAAGACAGCCACGUUAACUCUUGCAAUGCUGUGAUCAGCCAUACCCUCUCUAGUGGGUAACCAUUCCAUGUAUUCACUACACACAUAACACUGAGUAACACUAUUUUUACAGUGAAACAAUUAUUAUUAUUUAUAAAAGCGCCAACAAAUUCCAUAGUGCUGUAGAAUGGGUGGACAAAGAAACUUGUAUUUUAACCCCUUAAGGACCAAACUCCUGGAAUAAAAGGGAAUCCUGACAUGUCACACAUGUCAUGUGUCCUUAAGGGGUUAAACCAGACUAAUUUGAUGCACAGGAACAGCGGGAUUGAGGACCCUACUCGACGAGCUUACAUGCUAGAGGGAGUAGGGUAUAAUGACACAAAAGGUAAGGGUUGGGUAGAAAAGUAGGUUGUUAAAAUAGUAUUCACUGAGGGCUUAGUGUUUUGUUUUGAUGAUAGUUGCAGGAGAGGAAUCGGGGUGCUUGCUUGGCAUAACAUUAUCCUGGGAAAAAACUCUGCCUGCUGCUCCCUUACGUAUUCCAGAGUGUCUUCUCUUAUCUUUUAGUCUUUUUUCUCCCCGUCUCUUUACCCUUUUGUCUUUUCUUCCAAUGCCUCUCUUUGUAAUUAAUUUAUUUUCUAGUCUCCAAACCCCUGUUGCUCCCCAGUCUCUGUUCCCUAAUUUUCACUCCGUUUUUUCGACACUCUUUCUGUUCCACUGUUUCUUUCCCCUCUUCAUCAUUCUUUUUUUUAAUCCUGACUCCAGUUUCCACCACCUGUUCUUAUUUUAUAGUUUCCCUUUCUCCUCUAUUUCCAUUGUCACCCCUUUAAUCUCUUAUAUUUACCUCUAUUAAAUGUCAUUGGAGAUUGGAGGGGGUCAUGCAUGUGAUAGCAGUUUUUUUGGUGUCGUUACAGUUGUACACAUGUGAUGGCAGUUGUGUUGUGUCGUCACAGUUGUACACGUGUGGUGGCAGUUGUGUUGGUGUCUUCACAGUUGUACUGUACAUGUGUGAUGGCAGUUGUGUGCGUGUGCUGCCAGCUGUGUGUGCAUGUUGACAGUUCUGUGCAUGUGAAGGCAGUUGUAGUUGUACUGACACAUUUAAAGCCAAUGUUUUGUCUAGGUGUGUAUGCGGGACACUCCAUGAGAAUGCUGGGAGUUUUGUUUGUGUCUGUGUGUGCAUAAUAGGAGUUGUGAGUGUGCAUGUGUGUUUCUAUGACUUCAUAUAUUUUAUGGGGGUUUUGUGUGGGGUUGUAUGUGUGUGAUAAAGGUUGUGUGUAAGAAGGCUGUCUGUGUUGUGUGUGCAAGGCUUCCGGGGCCCUGCUUGCUUUGUCCGUUAUUUUUAUUUUUCAUCAACGCAUUUUACGGCUUACCUUUUUGGUAGCGAGAGGGUCACGAUUUAUUUCCUUCACCUGCCUUGCAGUUUAGUCCUGCUGAUAUUAGUUUGAUUAUACAGUGUUAUUUAGUCUGAGUGCACAAAUGUUUCAUGUGGUCUCUCUUCUCAUUUUGUAGGCUGACUUUUUGUCAAGGCAACUCCAGAAGAAGAAGUAAUGUUUUAGUAUCCCUCACUAUCCACAUGGGACUUUUAAGUAACGUUUGCCAGCUGCAAAUUGUGUAAAACCAUCUAAGUCAAUUUCAGAAUCACGUCAUGCCUAUGAUGUCAUCUGUCUAGAGGCUGGACAACAACUGGGAGUUUGGACAUUACAUAUACAAUAUUGUUGCUUUCUUUAAGAUAUAUUUUCACAUUAUUUUGUAUACUAUACCUUUGCCAACUGGAAUCCUGUAUUAGAUCUAAGAAUAUUCAUUUUUCUGUUUGUCCUAAGACAUGUUUCUUUAGGUAAAGUUUUCCCAUCUAUGCCCAUAGAUGAUAACGCUUGUUUUGAUUACGUUUGGACUUUGGACCUGCUAAUGGGAG